UGCCAGCAGCCGCGGUAAUACGAAGGGUGCUAGCGUUGUUCGGAAUUACUGGGCGUAAAGAGCGCGUAGGCUGAAGUGAAAGUCAGAUGUGAAAGCCCGAAGCUCAACUUCGGAAUUGCAUCCGAAACUUCAUUUCUAGAGGAUAGACGGAGAAGACGGAAUUCCACGAGUAGCGGUGAAAUGCGUAGAUACGUGGAAGAACACCGGUGGCGAAGGCGGUCUUCUAGUUUAUUCCUGACGCUGAGGCGCGAAAGCAAGGGGAGCAAACAGGAUUAGAUA
rnacentral:rRNA from 1 species